rnacentral:lncRNA from 1 species
GGAGCUUUGGGGAAAGGACCUCCCUUUACCCAUGAUCUUAUGUGGGAGGUACAGAUCAGGGGCUUUUCUGUUUUGAUAGGAGUUUUCUAUACUCUGCAGAGAGAAGAGACGCCGGAGACUGUGGGAUUGCGCUCUACACUGGGCUGCCCUGUAUUUUCAUCCUUCUCCUGAUCCAGCAGUUGAUCUUGCUCUGGAGAAAGUGCCCCAUCAGAGGGAGAGCUGUGCAAAGAAGGAAUCAAAUACCUAUGAGACAGAUGCCACAGACUGAAUAUGUGACUCUGAUGUACAGUAACAGAAAUGCUCCUCGGUAACUGAGUCUCACAAAAAAGGCUUAUGUUUUUUUAAAACAGGAG